AAUAGAUACCCCGGUAGUCCACGCCGUAAACGUUGGAUACUAGGUGUGGCGGUCUUACCAACAACUGCCGUGCCGAAGCUAACGCAUUAAGUAUCCCGCCUGGGGAGUACGGCCGCAAGGCUAAAACUCAAAGGAAUUGACGGGUCCCCGCACAAGCGGCGGAGCAUGCGGCUUAAUUCGAUGCAACCCGAAGAACCUUACCUGGGUUUGACAUCACGGGAAAAGCUGUAGAAAUACAGUGUCCAUUAGGGCCCGUGACAGGUGGUGCAUGGCUGUCGUCAGCUCGUGUCGUGAGAUGUUGGGUUAAGUCCCGCAACGAGCGCAACCCUUGUCCUAUGUUGCCAGCGGUUCGGCCGGGGACUCAUAGGAGACUGCCGGGGAUAACUCGGAGGAAGGUGAGGACGACGUCAAGUCAUCAUGCCCCUUAUAUCCAGGGCUGCACGCAUGCUACAAUGGCCGGUACAACGGGCAGCGAUCCCGCGAGGGUGAGCGAAUCCUAAAAAGCCGGUCCUAGUUCGGAUUGAAGUCUGCAACUCGACUUC
rnacentral:rRNA from 1 species